AGCUUUGCGCAGUGGCGAUAUCGUAACCAAUGAGGUUUUACCGAGGUGCGAUUAUUGCUAGUUGGAAAAAAAUAUAAAUUUUUAAGAUAAAAUAAUAAUAACACAUUAGAAAUUAUUAACUUUUAUGUUUUUCACUUCCGAAA